rnacentral:lncRNA from 1 species
UGAAGAGAAGGCAGCGGCUUCUUACUGAUGAUGGUGGUGAGCGUCUGUUCGCAGACCUCGCUUAUCCAGACGCGGACGUGGGGUUGAACGGAGGCCCUUAUCGAUUUCAGAGAAGCAGCAUCGGCGGAAAGAGAGAAAUGGCGCGGCAGCGGAGUGUUAGCUGCGGAUUUCAUAUGAGGAGAAGAGAGAAUCAGCCCUUAAUUGAAUUGGUGUUGGGCCUUCUUUUUGGUGGAGUUUUGGGCUUCGUUGCUGGGCCUUUUCUUUUGUAGAGAGGGGUCCAAACCCUUAUUGGUCCCCAACCCUUUUUUCAUAGUUCAAGUCAUUUUUUGUUCUUUUUUUUAAAUUGUAAACACAAUUUUUUUUUAUAUUUAUUUAUUUAUUUAUUUAUUUAUUUAUUUUUUUUUGCAAGUAAAUUUCAAAUAUGAAUUUUUCUUGCAGUUGGCAAUAGAGAAAGCUUGGUGAUAGCGACCUUCAAGAUUGGCGUAGUCUUAUCAACCAAGUUCAUGGUGGAUUUUGCCCCAAACGAGAUGUUUUGAGUAUUUGCAAAGUUCGGAGUAUUAUGUACAAGAUUGGCGAAUUAAUCAACUUCAUGGAAGAUUUUGCCCCAAACGAGAUGCUUUGAGUAUUUGCAAAGUUCGGAGUCUAUUGUCAUCUUUCUUUCAAUCUUGACAUCUCCUGUCAGCCCGACUAAAGACCAUCCUCAGAGAAUUCAUCCAAAAGUCUGGCAGCAGCCCAUCUAAGACCUUAUUUGAGUGAUGUUUACUUUGCACUUCAGGUGGCUCAAUUGGCUUUUAAUCAGAUUUCGGGUGCGCUCGGAUCUGGGCCAUUGUGAGUCUAACCUUUGAAGAUUGCUGGUUACAUCUUCUCUUUGCGCGCAUUUGAGCAGGCUAGAUGACUCAAAGUUGUGACCGUGUAUUUCCACUCCACAAAUAGUUUCAUCUUUAGCUUGGAGAAAACUGAAGUUGGCGAUGCAUAGCUGACCUCAACGCCAGAUGACUCAAUUCUUUGACAGGUCUUGGGUGCGCUCGAACCUGGGAUUGUUCGAGUCUGGUUUGAGUGAGGUUGUUAUGUUUGGUAUCUCACGAAGUUGGGAGAAUUCUGCACAACGACUCGAGAAGAUUG